rnacentral:rRNA from 1 species
CCUACGGGAGGCAGCAGUGGGGAAUAUUGCGCAAUGGGCGAAAGCCUGACGCAGCGACGCCGCGUGAGGGAUGAAGGUCUUCGGAUCGUAAACCUCUGUCAGCAGGGAAGAACGGUCACUGUGCUAAUCAGCAGUGAAUUGACGGUACCUGCAAAGGAAGCACCGGCUAACUCCGUGCCAGCAGCCGCGGUAAUACGGAGGGUGCGAGCGUUAAUCGGAAUUACUGGGCGUAAAGCGCUCGUAGGCGGUAUGUUAAGUCAAGGGUGAAAUGCCCGAGCUCAACGUGGGAACUGCCUUUGAAACUGGCAACCUGGAGUGUGUGAGAGGUAGGUGGAAUGCCAGGUGUAGGAGUGAAAUCCGUAGAUAUCUGGAGGAACAUCGGUGGCGAAGGCGACUAUCUGGCACAUAACUGACGCUGAGGAGCGAAAGCGUGGGUAGCAAACAGGAUUAGAUACCCGUGUAGUC